GCUUAGAGAGGGGUCAAUGUCCUAUCAGCUAGUUGGUAAGGUAAUGGCUUACCAAGGCUAAGACGGGUAGCCGGCCUGAGAGGGUGGUCGGCCACACUGGGACUGAGACACUGCCCAGACUCCUACGGGAGGCUGCAGUCGAGAAUCUUUCGCAAUGCCCGAAAGGGUGACGAAGCGACGCCGCGUGUGGGAAGAAGGCCUUCGGGUUGUAAACCACUGUCGGGAGUUAAGAAAUGUAAGGGUGUUAAUAGCAUCCUUGCUUGACUAAGGCUCCGGAGGAAGCCACGGCUAACUCUGUGCCAGCAGCCGCGGUAAUACAGAGGCGGCAAGCGUUGUUCGGAAUUAUUGGGCGUAAAGAGCACGUAGGCGGCUUUGUAAGUCAGUUGUGAAAGCCUUCUGCUUAACGGAAGAACAGCAUCUGAUACUGCAAGGCUAGAGUACGGAAGGG
rnacentral:rRNA from 1 species